AUAUAUCAAAACUUUCCCAAUUAUCUUUGUGUCACAACCGUGCCUCUCUCUCUCUGAAAAAACCUAGGGUCUCACUGCGUUGUCAAUUUCACCCGAUUGAAGUACUUCUUCGGUGUAGCUCCGGCCUCAUCUCCCUUAGACGGCCAUCCCGUCUUUGAGAUCUGUACGCAGACGUUUUUAUAGCCGAUUGAAGCUAAAGCAGAGUGAAAGGGAACCAAAUCAGCUAUGUCUACAGAUAUGGAUGAAAUUAAGUCAAUGUUCGAGAGGAUAACGUUGGAGAUUGCCAACUUUAAUGUUAGACAGAAUCAGCUAGAGGCUCAACAUGAGAAGGCUUUGGCUGAGUUGAAGAAAUCUAUAGAGGAAACUAGAAGGUUCGAUAGGGGUAAGAGUUUUGAAGGGCAAGAUAAAGGUAACGAGGUUGAUACCCCUUCAGGGAAUCCCAUGGCUUAGUUACCUCCUUCUACUAGAAGGCCUCCAAUACCCUCUUGUUCUCCAGCUAGAGUUCACAUGGGGUUGGGAUCUAUGCCUCAAUAUGCUGCGACCAUGGGACCAGUUCCACAACCUGCCCAAGUUGGGCAAACAUCAGGAGAAACAUCUGGAGUUGAGAGAAAUACCGGUCCACCAAUUCAAGGUCAGCAUCAUGCAGGAGGUCCAACAAUGUCAAGAAUGACCAAGCUGAAGUUCCCUAGAUUCAAUGGUACUCGGUUGAGAACUUUGCUUUACAAGCUUUUAAGGGAUGGUCAUAGUGAGAUACAUGGGUCUGCUUCAGGGUUUACUGUGUUGCCUUGAAUUUUAGAAAGUAAUGUUGUAUUUAGCAGUCUAGCAGCUUGCAGAAUGCACCUUCAAGUUUUACGAACAAUUCAAGGUACUCUCCACUACCUAAUGAUUAUCUUUGUGAGACCAAUCUGGUUCUACAACCACUUCAUGUAUCCAUUUCUCUUAACUGUAAUGCAGAGCUUCUUGAAUAGCUUUAGCUUCAGCCUCUAUAUUAGUAUCCCAUCCUAUCCCCUUAGCUCUUUCAUAUACUAUGUCUCCAUAUUUAUUUUGUAUUCAAAUGCCUAUAAAGCUUAGUCCUGCAGUGUACAUUUGAGCUUAUUUGUCUCUGGGUACUUCUAAGUUGCACUAUGAUAAUGUUGCUUAGGAUUGUACCUUAUUAAGUUGUUUAUUACAUCUGGACACAUCCAUGAUUCCAAUGUAAUCUAUGGAUAGUGGGAUUUCACCAAUUUUUUCCCUAGAUCUUAUAUCUGCAAUACCAUUGGUGUUUUCUUCAUUUUUUUUGUCUUUCCUUAUUAAUAUCAACAAUCUGGUUAAUAUCAACAAUCUAAUCUAUGAGAGUUUGUUGAUAUUAACCAGUUUACUCCAUGAAGCUGUGUAUUGUAUGUGUAUUCAGUGAUAAUGAAUUGAAUCACUAUAGUAAAUGACUUUCUUUCAUUUGGAGGGUAAUGAAAAAAUACUGAUGCGAUCGCUACUGAGUGUUGUGUUUUCCUAAGCUAUGCUAGUGAAACUUUUCAAUGACAACAGUUAGUUCAUACUUGCAUUAUCUCUUUUAUUAAAAAAUUUCAGGAAUAUGAAAAUAGGGAAAAAAGCCUACUUUUCCUGAGGUCUACGAAGAGAUGCAUGGUAAGAAAAAGGACGGUACAAGAGGAGAUUGGUUAGAAAUACGUGCUAAGAAUGCGUACCUAAGAUAAUAACUUUUACAUACAUUAUUUUAUUAUUACUCAACUUCGCUUGUUUACAUACUGAUAAAUAAUUUUUCUUUCAGAAAAAAAUUCAAAAAAGCAUAGAAAAUUAGCGUCAAAUCCAACCUACUUCAGAGGAUGGUACCAUGGUCCAUCCAUCACCUGCAGAUAUGACUAAUAUGUGGACAGUUGUGUUAGGUGGUCCAAAGAAAGGUAGAACCUACGGGACAGGGGUUCUCCAAUCCUCGAGUAGUCCUUUGUUGUUUUUCAGUUUCUCUCCUACUUUGCAAACUAUGGAAGAAAUGAAAGCGAUGAAAAAGCAAAUUGUGGAACUGACGCAGCAAUGUGCAGCUAACGAUGUUAAAUUUGCUAAAUUUGAGGAGUUGGUUAAGCAACAUAUGUCUCAAGUAUUUCAUGAUGAGGAAGAGAGUGAAUCUGAUGAUAAUUAGAUUGUAAUUAUUGUUCUUGUUUUUUGUUGUGACAUUUAGAUGUUUAAACUAUUUGAUUUGAUGUUUGUUUUGGAUGUUUUAAAGUGGUUACAUUUAUAAAAUUUUUUCGUUGUCGUGUUUGA